rnacentral:snRNA from 1 species
AGAUGUGAGGGCGAUCUGGUUGCAAUCUCUGUCACCCCAUUGAUCGUAAGGGUUGAUUCAGCUAAUCUGGCUGGCGAGGCAGGUGUCCACUUCCUCCCUCAACACUCCAUGUGCGUCCCUUCUGAAGCUAUGCUCUCUGGAUACCAGUGUCCAUCCAUCAAUGGUUAAAAUAGAGGGCUUGCCAAUA